rnacentral:rRNA from 1 species
CCUACGGGUGGCUGCAGUGAGGAAUCUUGGUCAAUGGACGAGAGUCUGAACCAGCCAAGUAGCGUGAAGGAUGACUGCCCUAUGGGUUGUAAACUUCUUUUUUAUGGGAAUAAAAUGUUCCACGUGUGGGAUUUUGUAUGUACCAUAUGAAUAAGGAUCGGCUAACUCCGUGACAGCAGACGAGGUAAUACGGAGGAUCCGAGCGUUAUCGGGAUUUAUUGGGUUUAAAGGGAGCGUAGGUGGAUUGUUAAGUCAGUUGUGAAGGUUUGCGGCUCAACCGUAAAAUUGCAGUUGAAACUGGCAGUCUUGAGUACAGUAGAGGUGAGCGGAAUUCGAGGUGUAGCGGUGAAAUGCUUAGAUAUCAGGAAGAACUCCGAUUGCGAAGGCAGCUCACUGGACUGCAACUGACACUGAGGCUCGAAAGUGUGGGUAUCAAACAGGAUUAGAUACCCUGGUAGUC